rnacentral:rRNA from 1 species
CAGUAGCCGCGGUAAUACGAAGGGUGCAAGCGUUAAUCGGAAUUACUGGGCGUAAAGCGUGCGUAGGCGGUGAGUUGAGUCUGCUGUGAAAUCCCCGGGCUCAACCUGGGAAUGGCAGUGGAUACUGGCUCGCUAGAGUGUGUCAGAGGAUGGUGGAAUUCCCGGUGUAGCGGUGAAAUGCGUAGAGAUCGGGAGGAACAUCAGUGGCGAAGGCGGCCAUCUGGGACAACACUGACGCUGAGGCACGAAAGCGUGGGGAGCAAACAGGAUUAGAUACCCGUGUAGUCCCUGUCUCUUAUAC